AAUCAACGCUGGCGGCGUGCCUAACACAUGCAAGUCGAACGCGAAAGCCCCGCAAGGGGUAAGUAGAGUGGCAAACGGGUGAGUAACACGUGGGUGACCUGCCUUCGAGUGGGGGAUAACGUCCCGAAAGGGACGCUAAUACCGCAUGACAUCCUGCUUUUGAAAAAGCGGAGAUCAAAGCUGGGGAUCGCAAGACCUAGCGCUUGAAGAGGGGCCCGCGCCUGAUUAGCUAGUUGGUGAGGUAACGGCUCACCAAGGCGACGAUCAGUAUCCGGCCUGAGAGGGCGGACGGACACACUGGGACUGAGACACGGCCCGGACUCCUACGGGGGGCAGCAGUGGGGAAUUGUUCGCAAUGGGCGCAAGCCUGACGACGCAACGCCGCGUGGAGGACGAAGAUCUUCGGGUCGUAAACUCCUGUCGAGCGGGACGAACGCUUCGCGGAUGAAUAAUCCGCGGAAUUGACGGUACCGCUAAAGGAAGCCCCGGCUAACUCCGUG
rnacentral:rRNA from 1 species